rnacentral:rRNA from 1 species
AUGUUUGGAGAUGGGCUUACUGAUGAGCAACUUUACCAACAACAAGUUCAGAAUUGGCUUAUUCAAAAUGGUGUGGGCAAUGAUCAGGCACCUCAUAAUGCUCCUCGGCAGGAUGGACCUCAGAAUGCUCAAUGGAAUCCUUGGCCACAGCCACCUGUUCCUCAAAUGCCUGCUACUCUAGUGAACUUUCAGGCUUGGCUUGCUGCUCAAGGCCUUCAGGUGCAAGAUGGAAUUCUUCCUGAGGAUAACUUUUUUGACAGUCUGAACUCUGCUUGGCUGGAAUCAAUCUCAAAUGUAAGCUCUCAGGGUUCCUCUUCCAUGACUGCUAUGCAGACCAGUACUUUGCUUGUAGCCCCCCUGCACCUCAAAACAUCAUCAAUGUGGAUGUGGCAAUCACUGCUGGAUCACUUCAGAUCAAUUCUAUCUGAUGUUGCUGCUUAUGGGCCAUGGAGCUAUGGGUAUGGCUUACCCCCUUUGGAGUUGUAG